GUGUUCCCUAGGUGGCCUCAUCUAUUUCACUUCGAGAAUAUCCACAAAUAGGGAAGAACAUUACCUUUAUCUUUGUAAUGUAUACAAUAAUGAUCAUGAACGGGUUAAAAAGGGGACACAGUAAUAUAAACCAUGUAAUAUUUCUUACCCAACUCGGGCCUAACUACAAAUGUACUCUUAUGACAGAAUACCGCUGCUGGGAAACUGCCGUUCCCGAGGUUGGACACACGAGGGCAGUCAAGCUCCAUCCAGCACAACACACAACGCCGCCUGAAACUGAAGUUCUGGAUCUUCUCCAGUGAAAUAGAUGAGGCCACCUACGGAACGCAUUAAGUUACAUAGGAGCAGCGAUGAGAAUAGAAAUGUAUUUCUAAUGUUAAUUGAAAUCUCAAAGAUUAAGAUUUCUUACCCAGAAUACCGCUUCUGGGGAAAUUGCCGUUCCGAGGGUGGACACACGAGGGCAGUCAAGCUCCAUCCAGCACAAGACACAACGCCGCCUGGAACAGAAGGAAGAUUUGGGCUACUGUACACAGACACAGCUCUUAGGCGUUAUUACUGUGCAUUGUCUAGUUUUCACAUAAGGACAAUACACGGAGCUUCUGCACUGUUCAUCAUCAUCUAAAAAACAAACAUUAUGUAAUAUAUUAUGUAAUAUACAUAGCAGUAUAUUUAUCAUAAUAAAGUUCACUCAUUAAUAACGAAUA